AGAUUGAACGCUGGCGGCAUGCCUUACACAUGCAAGUCGAACGGUAGAGUAGCAAUACUCGAGAGUGGCGAACGGGUGAGUAAUAUAUCGGAACGUGCCCAGUCGUGGGGGAUAACGUAGAGAAAUUUACGCUAAUACCGCAUACGAUCUACGGAUGAAAGCGGGGGAUUCGCAAGAACCUCGCGCGAUUGGAGUGGCUGAUAUCAGAUUAGGUUGUGGUGAGGUAAAAGCUCACCAAGCCGACGAUCUGUAGCUGGUUUGAGAGAACGACCAGCCACACUGGGACUGAGACACGGCCCAGACCUCCUACGGGAGCAGCAGGUGGGAAUUUUGGACAAGUGGGACGAAAGCCUGAUCCAGCAAUGCCGCGUGCGAGGAAGAGGCCUUCGGUUAGUAAACUGUACUUUGUAACGGAACGUAAACGUUCCAACCUAAGUACGGUGGACUUAAG
rnacentral:rRNA from 1 species